CCAAGUUCAAAGGUAAAGACAGAGAUGAGCACACAGAGCAACGAAAUUCGACAAUGAAUGUAGAAUUUGAUAAGACAAAACGUAAAGGAGCAACACCUAAUGAACCAACAUGUUCUAGAUUUUGACUACAUCAUGCUCAUUGACAAACAUACUAAUCAGAACAUCUCCCACCUAAAUAUUACAUGCUGUGAAUGAAAUCAUAAGGAAAAGAGAUGAAGCUCGAACAACAGCAUCAGAUUUCAUUAACUUCACAAAUAUACACUUCAAACUACACUUAAGUGAUGUCCAUAGGGCCAAAGUAUACCUGGAAUAUGAAAGGAAAUAAAGCAAUGUGGGGUCAGAAGCCAAGCAGCAAUACAGCAGAACCCAGCAGCAGGAAAUAACCAGCAAAACCAAUUUCAAACCAACAAAUGAUGUGCAGCAGUCCAAAAAAUAAUUUUAAUCGAACAGUGACCACAGCAAGCUUCAAACCAAACUUUUAAAAAUUCACAACUCAAACUAAUUCGAUCCAAAGCAAGACCUAGUCAUUUUCAGCAACUUUAAUUAAGCGAUGAGGAUCAGAAAACCAAGAAACCAGCAAAAUUUUGUAGUUUUCGGCCAGAAAAAUGCAGGGAGUUCUGAGUGCAGCUAUUUCAGUUUUUGAAUCCUUCCUCUCCUCCUAUUUUCAAUGCCAAGUAAAGGUGCCUUUAUAGGCAAGGCAUUAGGGGAGCUAUAAAAUGUUCAAUUUUACCCUUUAGUCCUUCUCUAAUUUUUGUUUUUGCUUAGGGGUCCUUUAUUUAAAUUUCAGAGCUUCAAAUCAGUCCCUCUCCCCAGCUUCCCUGAAGCUUCCUAUUCAGUUACACUCAAGAUUCCCUAAGCUAGACUACCCAAAUUACCCCUUAAUGACCCAUUUUUUACUGCUGAAACCUAUGAGUAUGGGUCAAGCUGAUCCUGGGCUGAAUUAAUUCAAACCCCAACCCAAACCAUGAUCCUGAACCUAAAGGCAUGAACCAAAUAUUCUGAGGAGAAACAAAAACAGAAACCUAUUUGAAUAAUUUUCAAAGUCCAAUUACUGAACUAGAACUAACAGAAUUAACAAAUCGAAUCUAACCUAAUUAACAAACUAAAACAUACUAAUUAAAGAAAGAGGUUUAGAACUAACAUGCAUGACAAAACAACCCUUAAAAAACCAAAAAAAACGGAGAAGAAUCCAGAAGAAGAGACAGAAGCAGCAGAUAGAAAAUUGAGGGAAAGACAACGAAAGAAAUGGGAAAAUACCUAAGAGCCUUGAACGAAUGAGAAGUAUAGACUGACGCUUCGAACUCUUCAGAUUCCGGAACAAUCCGAGAUUAAUCGUGUGUUUUUUUUUACCAAAACACAAGAAUAAAGUCGGAAUGGACCUAAAAUCUUCAAUAAGAUCCUAAAUUAGAGAUUUGGGAUUUUAGGGUUCAAUCUUUGAUUUACGAUUCGAAAGGUUCAGGGGUGAUUCGAGGGAAUAGAGUUAGGGACUGGGAACGAGGGGAGUGAGGGCAUUCUGGGGUAUCGAUUUGGGCGUGAUUGGAGGAGGCGCAGCCAGGUUCAAGGCGGUGGGAAUAGUGGCGGCGUUAGGGUUUUGAACCUGAUCUUUGAAGUGAGAGGGUGAGGGAGACGAUGAGGAAAGGGGGGGAUGGGUUUGUUAGGACAUUC
rnacentral:lncRNA from 1 species